rnacentral:rRNA from 1 species
UCCGUAGGGGGCAAGCGUUGUCCGGAUUUACUGGGCGUAAAGCGCGCGUAGGCGGGAAGAGAAGUCCGGUGGGAAAGCCCACGGCUCAACCGUGGAAGAACGCUGGAAUCUCUCUUUCUUGAGGGCGGCAGAGGGAAGUGGAAUUGCUGGUGUAGCGGUGAAAUGCGUAGAUAUCAGCAGGAACACCCGUGGCGAAGGCGGCUUCCUGGGCCGCCCCUGACGCUGAGGCGCGAAAGCGUGGGGAGCGAACGGG